CAGUCGCCACGGUAAUACAGAGGGUGCGAGCGUUAAUCGGAUUUACUGGGCGUAAAGCGUGCGUAGGCGGCUUCUUAAGUCGGAUGUGAAAUCCCUGAGCUUAACUUAGGAAUUGCAUUCGAUACUGGGAAGCUAGAGUAUGGGAGAGGAUGGUAGAAUUCCAGGUGUAGCGGUGAAAUGCGUAGAGAUCUGGAGGAAUACCGAUGGCGAAGGCAGCCAUCUGGCCUAAUACUGACGCUGAGGUACGAAAGCAUGGGGAGCAAACAGGAUUAGAUACCCCCGUAGUCCCUGUCCUUAUACA
rnacentral:rRNA from 1 species